ACUACAAACUGCUAGCGAUUCUCCUAUUAAUGAUUGCAUUAUAACCUACUAUCCUCUGUCCUUACUCCCGCAUCUGAUGCUCGCCUCCAAGACUUCUCCAGGGCUGCACAUUUUCUGUGUAACUCCCUUCCUUUCUUCAUUAGACUUUCAUCCAAUCUCCACUCCUUCAAAAAAUCUUUGAAAACACACUUCUUAAGCAAAGCAUAUAAUUUAAACUGUUAGAGGGUGUUAAUCCCCCACCCCACGACUCCUCUCCUGCAACUGUCAAAAAUAAUCUAAGCUCUCAGUGAAUACUUUUCUCGCAACCUAUUUCAUUACCCCUACUUAUACCCUUUGUGUCACUAUACCCCACUCCCACUAGCAUGUAAGCUCAUUGAGCAGGGCCCUCAACCCCUGUUCCUGUGCGUCCAUUUGUCUGGUUACAGUUACGUGUCUGUUAGUCCACCCAUUGUAUGGAAUUGGCUGGCGCUAUAUAAAUAAUAAAACAAUAAUAAUAACA